GACGAACGCUGGCGGCGCGCUUAACACAUGCAAGUCGAGCGAGAACCAGGCUUUCGGGCCUGGGGAAAGCGGCGAACGGGUGAGUAACACGUGGGUAAUCUGCCCUCGGCACCGGAAUAGCCCGGGGAAACCCGGAUUAAUGCCGGAUAGCCUCUCGAGCCCUCGGGCUCGCGAGACAAGGUAGCUUCGGCCUCUGGCCGAGGAGGAGCCCGCGGCGGAUUAGCUUGUUGGUGGGGUAACGGCUCACCAAGGCGACGAUCCGUAGCUGGUCUGAGAGGACGAUCAGCCACACUGGGACUGAGACACGGCCCAGACUCCUACGGGAGGCAGCAGUGGGGAAUCUUGCGCAAUGGGCGAAAGCCUGACGCAGCGACGCCGCGUGCGGGAAGAAGGCCUUCGGGUUGUAAACCGCUUUCAGGAGGGACGAAGCCACUCGGGUUAAUAGCCCAGAGGGUGACGGUACCUCCAGAAGAAGCCCCGGCUAACUACGUGCCAGCCGCCGCGGUAAAAC
rnacentral:rRNA from 1 species